AGUGAACGCUGGCGGUAGGCCUAACACAUGCAAGUCGAACGGCAGCACAGAGGAGCUUGCUCCUUGGGUGGCGAGUGGCGGACGGGUGAGGAAUACAUCGGAAUCUACUCUGUCGUGGGGGAUAACGUAGGGAAACUUACGCUAAUACCGCAUACGACAUACGGGUGAAAGCAGGGGAUCUUAGGACCUUGCACGAUUGAAUGAGCCGAUGUCGGAUUAGCUGGGUGGCGGGGUAAAGGCCCACCAAGGCGACGAUCCGUAGCUGGUCUGAGAGGAUGAUCAGCCACACUGGAACUGAGACACGGUCCAGACUCCUACGGGAGGCAGCAGUGGGGAAUAUUGGACAAUGGGCGCAAGCCUGAUCCAGCCAUACCGCGUGGGUGAAGAAGGCCUUCGGGUUGUAAAGCCCUUUUGUUGGGAAAGAAAUCCAUCUGGUUAAUACCCGGGUGGGAUGACGGUACCCAAAGAAUAAGCACCGGCUAACUUCGUGCCAGCAGCCGCCGUAA
rnacentral:rRNA from 1 species